UUUACAGAGAAUAUGCAACCUUUUCCUGCCACCCUGAAACUUUUGGUAGGUGGAGCUAGUCACAUGAAAGUAGAUAAAAGGAAAGGUAAAUAAAUACAGGAAAUGGUUGCAUGUAGUAACACUAGUCAACAGUAAACCACUGAAAAAAUAUAUAUAUUCACCCAAGAUAAGCAUCUUUUGUAUUAAGAAAGG